rnacentral:rRNA from 1 species
AUACGAAAGGUGCAAGCGUUGUUCGGAUUUACUGGGCGUAAAGAGAGUGUAGGUUGUUUAUUAAGUCGGAUGUGAAAUCCCGGGGCUCAACCUCGGAACUGCAUUCGAUACUGGUAGACUAGAGUUCGGGAGGGGUAAGCGGAAUUCCGUGUGUAGCAGUGAAAUGCGUAGAUAUACGGAGGAACACCUGAGGCGAAGGCGGCUUACUGGACCGAUACUGACACUGAGACUCGAAAGCGUGGGUAGCAAACAGGAUUAGAUACCCUUGUAGUCC